GUGAAAACCUAGUUUAGGGUAGGACAGCAAGAUCAUUGAGGAUCGAGGCGGCGGCGAACGCACGGCAUGGAGGGAUAAGUCGCCAUCACGAUCAGAUGGAGGCGCUGUGGGAGGAGAUUGAUGCGGCGGCGUCUUUCCUCCGCGCAAUGAUCUAAAGCGCGACAUCAAGCAGCAACAGGGGAGCAGGGAGGCGGCGGCGCGGUGAACCGACUGCGACGUCUCGGAGCUUCGGCGCAGGAUCUCUUCUCUAGAGUCAGAACCUCUGCGCCCUCCUGCAGCGGGAUGACGAGUCCGACGACGACCGAUGUCAUAGGGCGGCAUCGGCGAUGCAGGUCCACUUGCUCCAGACCCUAGACCGGGAGUUGCCGGAGCUGCCACGGCGUGACCUCACGAUCCCCUUCACAUGCUCCUGCACGGAGUAGGAAGACGAGAUGGAUCUCGCGCGAUCUCCAGCGAGGGAGGAGAUGGAGACCGAGGAGAGCCUCUUUGCCGGAUGCCGCUAAGGCUGUGGAUACGUGUGCGGGAUGCAACACCGCAUUGAGCCCUACAUAUGCACUUCGGGCACUGCACGCUGUGAUUCCUCCACAUAAUUACCAACAGGAUCUCGAGUAUUCCCAUCGUCGACUUUUUUUUAUUUCCAAAAGUUCGCAGGAAUAAUUGUUGCAAACUAUUUUUUUUGCGGGAAUAAUUGUUGGAAACUUGUCAGUUCUUCUGCCAAGGCUUGAUUAAUGAACCUACAAAAUUCCUCGAAUGGAUCUGACUAAAUCCGGGUAUUUCCCUCCUUUCCAUUCCGGAGCAUCUUAUAAUCUUAAGUUUCCGGUUUAUGAAAGAAAAAUUAUAUUAUCAGCUCACUCUUCAUCAAUCCUUAUGGAUCGGCCUAGCAUGAUCUGAAACUUUGUGGAUGUGAUUAUGACCAAACGUUUAAGAUGCUUGCAAAAUUUGGUGGCCAAAUGACAUCCGAUGAGCUCUGUAUAAAAAAAAGUUUGUGCUUAAACAAAUGAACAGUAACUCAGGGGGAGAGCAUCAUUUUGUGCCACCAGAAUUCUAUUUUGUGUCCGCAUAUUUUAGUAGUGUCGUGGCAUCAGUUGUGCAGUCUCUCAGUGACCGAUCCUCCUUUUUUUUGAAAAUAAACACACUGUUUUAAUACUUCCUUGCUGUAGGCUCGG